rnacentral:tRNA from 1 species
GCCUGGGUGGCUCAGUUGGUUGAGCGUCUGACUUUGGCUCAGGUCAUGAUCUCAUGGUUUGUGGGUUCGAGCCCCACGUAGGGCU